GACGAACCGUGCGAACGUUAUUCGGAAUCAUUGGGCUUAAAGGGUGCGUAGGCGGGCUCGUGAGUCAGGGGUGAAAUCCCACGGCCCAACCGUGGAAGUGCCUCUGAUACCGCGGGCCUCGAGGGGAGUAGGGGCGUGCGGAACUUCCGGUGGAGCGGUGAAAUGCGUAGAGAUCCGGAGGAACACCGAGCGGCAGAAGGC
rnacentral:rRNA from 1 species